GAAAACAAAAACCCCAGUCUGGAUUUGGACAGGUAUAGUGGUAGAGACAGCGCACAGCGGCGCUCUCUUGAUUUUUCAUUGUCUUUGAACUGCUUCACACUCUAAAGUACAUUUGUUUUUCUCGCAGAUGCAGCCGGGUAGAAAUUCCUGAGAGGAAAUGAAAACAUGAGGAGAUAUCCACUGUAUUCCGUGCAGCAUACAACCCCCCGCGGUGUGAAGAUGGAGAUCAGGGUUCAGAUCCCGUUAAGGAGAGAAAUCAGCUGGGUUCCGCUCAAUCUCCAUGCUCUGGCCACACACCUACACUGUGG